AACGAACGCUGGCGGCAUGCCUAACACAUGCAAGUCGAACGAGACCUUCGGGUCUAGUGGCGCACGGGUGCGUAACGCGUGGGAACCUGCCCUUAGGUUCGGAAUAACUCCCCGAAAGGGGUGCUAAUACCGGAUAAUGUCUUCGGACCAAAGAUUUAUCGCCUUUGGAUGGGCCCGCGUUGGAUUAGCUAGUUGGUAGGGUAAAAGCCUACCAAGGCGACGAUCCAUAGCUGGUCUGAGAGGAUGAUCAGUCACACUGGGACUGAGACACGGCCCAGACUCCUACGGGAGGCAGCAGUGGGGAAUAUUGGACAAUGGGCGAAAGCCUGAUCCAGCAAUGCCGCGUGAGUGAUGAAGGCCUUAGGGUUGUAAAGCUCUUUUACCCGGGAUGAUAAUGACAGUACCGGGAGAAUAAGCUCCGGCUAACUCCG
rnacentral:rRNA from 1 species